CCCAGGUCAAAGAGACAUGUAGAAACAGUUAUUAUCUGAAUUCUGAGACAAAUGUUUCCAAAAACCACCACUUUUCUCAUGAAGUAAAACAUCCCUAAGUACGAUGCUUGUCAUCCAGCACACUUUCAAACAACCAACUAGUGAUGUCCACCAACAUAUUGGGUAUUUGCAUCAGCACUACCCUGAACCUGAUGUACAGCAUAAGGCGCAGGGUACAGAUUCUCUCCAUAUCCUGUUUCAGGAUUUCCAUAAUUGGCAGAAUAUGUAAAAUUCGGAGUUGCUGCAGAAAUCUGGUGAUUUAAAUUACUUGGAGCCGCUGCAGCUGCUGCUGCCCUUGCCCUCUUCUCUGCAUUUGCAAGCUCAGCAUGUAGUUUCUCAAUUUCAGAAGCCAGAGUAAUCUUAUGUUUCUCCAUUGCUUGACUAUAUUCAAGGUUGCUGGUGUGCAUCUUUUUUUCAUAGUCGAUAGCAGCCCUUCCUCGUUGAACUUCCUUACGCAUGGACUCCAUUUCGGCCUUGAUUACGGGAAACUGCUGUAACUCGGAACCAACUUUGACGAGAUCUUCCUCCAUGUUCUGCAAUUUGGCAGUGAGCUCUUUACGGUCGUCAACUAGGUUCUGAAUAUCACUCCUAACCCGAGCCAAAUCUACUCUAAGCUCAUCGAGUAUACAAACAUCAGACUCCUUCUUCCGUGCCUCGUCGUAAACCUCACGGACUUCAGCAUCCCUUUCGGUCUUGACGGUUGCGGCUGUGGAAGAGAGAAGACGGAGCUCGUGCUGGAUGGCGGAGAGCUCCUGGUUAAGAGAGACGUGUGCGCCCGCUAGACUGCGGUUUUCCUGGAGCAAUUUUUCAAUCUCGCGUUGCUGAGCAACUUCCCGAUCAUCAAUUAAGUCUGACGGGUGAAUACGGAGUUGGAGUUGGAGAUGGGGUUGGGGUUGGGCUUCCGGUGGUGCAAAACGGCGGCGAGAAUCAUCUGUAUAAGGGGCGUGGCGGCAUUUUCGUCUCGUCAUGACCACUGCACAGAUGGAAAA
rnacentral:misc_RNA from 1 species